rnacentral:other from 2 species
AGCUCCCUGCUGUGUACGUUAAGGCUGAAAUUCUUUGAACCAAUUAUCAAACUUGGUUGUUAACUAAAGUGGUGCAGGUGUGCGAGCCCGUACGGGCUUGCCUGAUGUACCCGGGAGACGACCACCUUGAACCAUUAGGUUCAAGAUGAUGGCCUGGCGGCAUAUGCGGGGAGCCC